UCAUAACUAGUUAUUUAAUAAAUGAGUAUUCCCGCCAUUUUUUUUUUUUUUUUCACAAUUGGAAGUCUAUGUGUAGCCGCUUUGUUUUAAUUUUUCACCCCUUCGCAUCUUUGUGUCUGUGAGAACUGAGAACUGAGAACUGAGAAAUCCCAACUCCCAAGUCCCAGCAACAAAUUGUCUCUGUUUUUUUUUCUGUAAGUUUUCUAUUCUCUACUUUCAUUUUUCUUCUCCCAUCAAAAUCCUAGUCUCUCUCCUUGUUUCUUUACUUUUUGUCUCACAUUCACUUGCACAUAUUUCACGACGUCUGAAGGUCAGUUUCUUUCUUCGCUCUCAUUCUCGUUCGAUUCUUGUUUUUCUUUGUCGAUUAAUUCGUUUGUGCGUUUAUAAUUGUUUUGAUUCCAUUCGAUAUACGUGUUUUUCUUUUGCUAAAUGGGUCUAAUAAUGAAAUAGAAAUUGGUGAUUUUGAACUCAUCUUAGAGGAUGGUAAUGGAGUGGUUUGGCGUGGGAUGGUCAUCAACUUUGUGGCUUUUAGUAUUUUGAUUUUGUCACUUUGUGUUCUUUGUUUGAUUGUGUUUCUGUCUUUUUCUCUUUUCUGGGUCUUGUUUUUAUGGGUCAAUCCUUUUGUCUUCAAGAAAAUAAAAUACCCAAUCGAGUUUUCGUGUUCUUUUCUUUUAAUGUUCUACUUCUUAUCAAUGAGCAGUAUAUACUUUGUAUUCAUGUGUAAUAAGCUUGCAUUCGUUCAUGUGAUUACCUAACCGUAGAUAAAUCAAAUAUGGAAAUAAAAUGUCCGAUAUCCGGCAAACUGAUCCGAAGUUCAAAAAAUGGACCAAGUGGAUUCGAGUCUAGGUUUUUGAGCGAGUUUGAAGAACUUGGGGGGAUUGGCAGCGGGGGCUACGGUUCUGUUGUCAAAUGUGUUAAUAAGGUAGACAAUCAAGAAUAUGCUGUGAAGAAGGUAUUGCUUGACACUGAGGAAGGUUUAGACUAUGAUCUAGUUAUCAGUGAGGUUUUGUGCUUGGCGGUAGUUUGUCAUGAGAAUGUCAUUCGCUAUUACUCCGCUUGGUUCGAAGCUGAGAUAGUGGGUGCAUUUGAUUUGACUGCGGAUUCUGGAGAGGUUUCUUGUGAAACCGGAGGGCCAUGUAUACAUCCAACAAGAGAUUUGUUCAACUUCGUUGAACAAAGUCCUGGAGGCUGAAUCUUUUUUGAAAGAUGAACAUGUUUGGGAUAUUUUUUCUCAAAUCGUGAAAGGAUUACAACAUAUUCAUUCGAAAGGGAUAAGACAUGGCGAUCUAAAGCCCUCCAACAUAUUCAUUACGGGUGAACGCAUUGUGAAAAUCGGGGAUUUUGGCUUAGGCUCUUUUUUGGCUGGAAUGGUGAAGGUUCCUAUUGCUAGGGGUUACUAUGUUGCUCCCGAGUUAACAGCAGAAUUGCCAGAGUUUCCCCUAGAAUCAGACAUCUUUAGUCUAGGGAUGAUUCUGUUUGAGAUGUUUGAUGGAUUUGGUUUCGGCACAACUCAAGAGAGGUACGAGGUGUUGGGAAACUCAGAAAAGAGAGGAGAAUAUUUGGAGAAAUCUUCGUUGGAUAUCAAGAAGAAGGAUUUGAUCAAAGUUUUGAUUUCUGAGGAAUUUACAAAAAGGCCUUCUACUUCAGAGAUUCUUGAGCUUCUCAAGGAUGCCACAUCCCUGGACGAAAACAUAGAGACGGAUGAGUACGAUGUAUAAAUAGGCUGCGGGUUGUUUGAUGAUGUAGAAUAGGAGGUAGAGACAAGACUACUCAUACCACACUACCUUGGAGACCCUUGCAUCAAUUGCAGCAGUUAUUGUGAUUCAUUACAAACUAUUGCUGGAUGUCAUAGUUUUGAUACUUUGUAUAUAAUAGCUCGCUAUGUUGCUGUAGCUCUUCAUCACAAUAUUACUUGUAAAUGACUAGAUAGCACUACAGUAUCACUCCCAAAAUAGGAAGAGAAAAUACGUACAUGAAUAUGGAUGCUUGAUACCUGAAUACUGUUUUUGAAUCUUUCUUAUUUCUGUUUUGGACAGAUGUAAAUCUUGAUUUACGUACUGUUGAGAGGCAAUUGUCAAGCUUCAGAGUUUUAGUUUCGAGAAAUGGCUGAAUAUAGUGUAUGCAAUAAGUUUUUUUUUGUA